GAUGAACGCUGGCGGCGUGCCUAAUACAUGCAAGUCGAGCGAACAGACGAGGAGCUUGCUCCUCUGACGUUAGCGGCGGACGGGUGAGUAACACGUGGAUAACCUACCUAUAAGACUGGGAUAACUUCGGGAAACCGGAGCUAAUACCGGAUAAUAUAUUGAACCGCAUGGUUCAAUAGUGAAAGACGGUUUUGCUGUCACUUAUAGAUGGAUCCGCGCCGCAUUAGCUAGUUGGUAAGGUAACGGCUUACCAAGGCAACGAUGCGUAGCCGACCUGAGAGGGUGAUCGGCCACACUGGAGCUGAGACACGGUCCAGACUCCUACGGGAGGCAGCAGUAGGGAAUCUUCCGCAAUGGGCGAAAGCUUGACGGAGCAACGCCGCGUGAGUGAUGAAGGUCUUCGGAUCGUAAAACUCUGCUAUUAGGGAAGAACAAAUGUGUAAGUAACUAUGCACGUCUUGACGGUACCUAAUCAGAAAGCCACGGCUAACUACGUG
rnacentral:rRNA from 1 species